GAUCGUGCUCUCGAUAUUUUUCGUCGUUCUAUUAAAUAAAAACAUUUAUCGCGGAAACCGUUUAUAAGCUUAGUUUUCGUGAUAUGUACUGCGCCCUCGCAAAAGUUGCGCAUAAAAGCCAAAAAUAAUUUCCUUCGUGAACAUGUUCUAUAGGAUAAAUGAGGAAAACUUCGGUGUUGCUUACACUAAAUGUAUCGCGAAGAUUAGUACGACGUGCAAAACCUAUGAAAAAUGAUGUUUUACGUUCGUUUAACUUGCCACUAUUCCACGAAAAAUUACCAGCGAACAUAUACGCAUCGAAGUCCUGUCGGGUAUAUUUGAGCAUUGUUGUAUUGGUGAUCGUUGGCUCAUCGGAAUAUCUGUAUUAAAACUUGAUCAACAACGUGGUGUACGUGGCUUUAAUUCUAGAGGUCAUUUGGAAGGAGAACUUCAAGAUCUGGGCAUUCCUUCCUGUGUCACUUAGAAUUUUCCGUUUGACCAGGACACGGAAUUAGCGUUCUUUUUUAAAGCUGCCGCUUGGUCAGCUGAAUGAAAUGAGUCCGAAGUAACAACGUCCCGUAGAAGCGCGUAGAGAAUGCACUCUACAGAGUAUGUAUUCUUAAAAUACAGGUUGAGUCACCGGCGAUAAAAGAUACUACAAUAAGUCUAAAAUGCUCUAUGAAUUGACCCUCCAUUGAAUUGAGUGUAUUCUAUGAGCGUAUGGGGUACGCGCCUUAUCUAGAACCUAAGACAAUAAAUGAUGAUUAUACAACAUACAAUUAAAGAAAAAUUUAUAAGUAUGUAUACCCUCAUAAUCACCGAGUUUAAAAAGGUGGUAUUUUAAUGGAAAAAAAGCGCUGCGAUGUUUAAAAUCCUAAAGGAAGGCAUUCAACACAAAUGGCAGUAAACUAAUAUUUGAAUAACGUCUCACGUACGUUACAUUCACGGAGCAAUGAUAUUUAGAGCGACCCAUAUCAUAACUAUAUUUCCGACUUAGCCGUUUUCCAGAACCAUGUAGAAGCGUUGGUUUACAUCCUGGAAACGACAAUAUUCGUGUCAUUAUCACGUGCCGUCCGAUUCAGAAGUGACAUUUCCAUUAGAAAAAGAGGAAAUAAAGAUAAGCCUAAAUUUUCAAUGUCGAAAUUUUUGCACAAGCUCGAAAAGCCUUGAUAACUUCAAAAAUAAUUCGACGUGUCUGUACGCAUGUCGUAUGAUACCAGUAGCUUUUAAUCGAUGACAUUCUAUUAUCUGGAUCUGUGACACACACAGCCUCGAUUUCACCUGUACCGUCUGCUUAGAGCAGUGUUUAUAAAAACAAGUCGUGUAAUCGAGACAUACACUCAUGAUGCCGACAACUUUCUGGGAUAACAGAAGAAAGAGAAAGUUAGUAAUAGAGAGAAAGAGAUAAAGAUAUAUAACGAGGAGCGAGCCAACAGUACGGCGUACGUGACCGACUGCACUACGUGUGGUGCCCACUCCCGCCGUUCGACGCCCGAGCUACCCGAAAGAUCGUUGCAAUUUCGGGAUCCUGACCUUCUCAGUCUACCACCGUGUCACCUCCCACCUUGCGCCUUGUUUUAGUACCAACCGAGGAGAUUGGAUGCCGAUAUUCGACCGGGAAUCCGACUAUGUACUCUUUCUCACCGAUACCGGCGCAGUAUCGUUUAUCGGAACUUCAUGACGAAACGGGGAAACUUGGCAGGCUGGCUGCAUUCAACAAUGACUAAUAUGAUUACGGCAAACAUUGCGGAAAACAAUGUCUCGUUUUAUACGGUCAAACGUACAGAUAACGUGAACCACUCUGACUCAUUUAAAUUUUACAUAAUUUGUCUCCCGCCUAAUGUUUUUUAAACAAAUGCUAAGUUAAUAUAUAAUUAUUAAUUUUUCCCUUGUUAUGUGAUCGUUCAACGGCUCUUCCGGAAAUUCGAAAUCAAAAUUUAAUUGUUCUGAUGUGUGUGGAAGGAAGUAAGUUUCGUAUGAAACUGUUUAAAUUUCUAACUAGAUAGCUUUUGAAGUACACCCAGCUACAUUUGAACUAAUGCAACUUCUAGAUUUCCUGUUCUCAUUUGAAAUCGGGGGUCUAAUUUCGUACGCGAUACUUGAUAUCAUGAGCUGCCUUUAUGAAAGAAGUUUACCUUGCCAAAACAUUCUAGAAAUUAAUGAACCAGUUUAUUCGUUUAUGCGUCCAAUUAGUUGAUGUUUUACGCAUAACCAAUGUUCGGUGAAAAUAAGUUUAAAAAUUGUUUACAACGAAAUACAUAGUUACAAUGUGCAAUGAACACCU